UACAGAGGUGGCAAGCGUUGUUCGGAAUUACUGGGCGUAAAGGGCGCGUAGGCGGCCUUCUAAGUCGGACGUGAAAGCCCCAGGCUUAACCUGGGAACUGCGUCCGAUACUGGGAGGCUUGGAUUCGGGAGAGGGAUGUGGAAUUCCAGGUGUAGCGGUGAAAUGCGUAGAUAUCUGGAGGAACACCGGUGGCGAAGGCGGCAUCCUGGACCAAUAUUGACGCUGAGGAGCGAAAGCUAGGGGAGCAAACGGG
rnacentral:rRNA from 1 species